AGCACGAUGGCCGUGUGGUUAAGGCGUUGGUUCCAAUGAACAAGUGACUGCGUGGGUUCGUACCCCGCUCGUACCA
rnacentral:tRNA from 1 species